ensembl:lncRNA
AAAAACAAAAUAAAAGGAGGUGCUGUCAGAAGUAAUUUUCAAAGCUGCUGCUGUCAUUUAGGAACUUUAAUUUCUUUUGAACCACCUUGAAAUAUCCAUCUUUGAUGUUUUUGUAAAACAUCAGGGGACAGAGCAUUCAUUCCAAGUAUAUUUGGCUAGUUUAUGAAUCUAAACUAAGCCCAGUACUGGAAACUAAUGUAACAGCUUUAACCAUCAUGCACCUUGACUUUAGGGAGUGGUAAACUCAGCAGAAUUUUUGCACAGCAGUUAAACAAGUUCCUUUAAAUUGCUAAUAACUCUAGACUACUAUACUAUACUGGGAAAUGUAGAGACUAAGGCAUAUGGUCUGCAUUAUCUUAUCUCAUCUUUAUGUGCCUAAAUAUUUUGGAAAAUAUAGUCUUUAAUCUAAAAUAUCCUAAUGGAAUUGUUUAAAAUACAAAUAGUAAGCUGUAAUUCUUGGAACUGCUAUGAGACACAUGUAUUUGAAAAUUCCAUCUAAUUUCCUUUCUGUGUGUGGUAGAGAUCUCUCAGAGUUCCCUGAAGAUGCUAAGUUCAUAUACAACAGAAAAAAAAACUUCAUGAUAAAAGCGUAUUUCGUGAACAUAUUAUAAGUCCCUGUGCAUAUAUUUGCAUGAGAAAAUUUCUAUAUUCAAGAGUGACUACUAUAUACAUUAUAUAUGCAGGUAUACAAUCAUAUACAUGAAAACAUAUGUCUGUGUGUACAUAUGUAUACACACACAUGUUCAAACUCUGAGUAGAAAUGUACAACUAUAGAUACCAAUUCAAUCUGGCUGAUGUAGGAAGCCAUCAUUUUGCUCAAAGAUUGAGAGGAAAAAUAUCAAAUGAACUUUUUUCUAACACUAUUCCUGAUUACAUUAGGAAAGUUGAUUUAUAUUCAUAUGAACAGAUGAAGCUAAUGGCCAAAAUACCCCACAACACUCACUUGCAAUACAUGCUUUCAAGUACUUCAUAUACAGGUUUAAAAGGUCAAGAUGUUAUAAUUGAAAGGUAACAAUUUUGUUUUGAUUAGUAGCUGUAGGAGCCCUACUUCCUGAAUGUCUGCAAAAGAGAAACGUUAUAAUACAAGCUUCCUAAGUUAGAUCUAUCUGAAAUCCCUCUGUCAUACAGACACUGCAAUAAAGUACAGUGAAGAUAAAAUAUGCAAAAAGAACCUAACAGAAGAAGAAUAUAAAAGAAAAUUCCAAUCCAUGCGCAGGGAUCUCUCCCACAUCCAGAUCCUCAACCAUUUGGUAAAGAUUUAGCUGACAUCAAGCUCAACGAAUUCACUAGAAUAGUCCAGACUGAACAGAAAAAUUUUAUUCAAGUUAUAAAAAAGGAAUCAGAAUCAUUUCACAGAACAACCUCGUAUCUAUUGAUUUCUCAUCAUCAGCCACUUUUUCUUCUUCCUUCCUCAGACGUGGAGGGUAGCAAACAGGUUGAGAGGAGAUAACACUUUUGAAUUAAGAAUCCAAUUCUUUUUAAUUGAAGUAUACUUGGAACUUCGUAAUUCUACUCAUUAUUGGCUCUUUAUUAUUAUAAACAAAAGUACUUUUUUGUUUGUUUGUUUUUAGUUCAAUGAACCAAUUUUACUCUCGGCAGAAUUUUAUUCAUAUCAUAUCAUAGAAUGGUCUGACUUCAUGAUUUUUGUACUAUUAUUUCAGAGCAUCCUAGAGCAGUUUGCAGACCAAACACAUGGAAACUGCAUCCCUUCCACUGAAGUGUAACCACUUGGAAUGUGCUGAUUUAUGGUAAUGUAGCAGAAGAUAAGAAGAUUGAAACUGUCUAACUGGAAUUAGAGAGUAAAUUGAUUUGCCCAAAAUAUAAUUGAACAAGACAUUGCAAUUAACAACUCUGUGCUUGUUAGAAGUGUCACAAGAGCCUUGAUAGCUAGAGCUGGUAAGAACAUUAAUUUUGCACUUUAUAUGAUAGAUGGAAACACCAGCUACAGUGAUUCCUAUUUUUAUCUGAGGAGAUUAUUUUUCUAAGCUGUAAUAGUGUAGUGAAAUUAAUUAAUUAAAUUUAUCAUUCAUUCUGCUCUUUUGGAGAGUAUGCAGAGGGAUGAAGUAAAACAAACAAACAAAGAAAAGGAAUCAAGAAAAGCAAAAAAAAAAUCCAACCCCACCAAUAACAAAAAUUUCAAUUUUAUGACACUCUUCAAAUUCUUUUCAUCCUGUCCAUACCUACAAACUCUAUUAUACAGUGAGUAUAUUUUUAUGGCAAUUGAACACAAAAUCAUUAAAAGGAAAUCAGAAG